AUGAACGGAAUGUCAAAGGUGGUGAGGUCCGUGAUUGAUUCGAAACGGAGGCGUGAGGAGGAAUUGCCGGAUGGGAGGGGAUUUACGGCGGAGGAUCAUCGGAAAAUGCGGAUCGGAGAAGAAGAGUUUAGCAGCGCCGUGGCUGUGUUGAGAGAUAAAAGAGGGGGAAGAGAAUUUUUUGCUCGUGGAAGUUCAAUCAUCGUAGCAACUCAACCCUAA